rnacentral:lncRNA from 1 species
CAGUUCCCUGGUGAUGACGGUCAUCAGGGUUCCUCUCAUUGGGCUGUCCCCACCCACGGCCCUCCCAUCAAGCGCCAUCAAGCAAAGCUCAUCUUAGGUACACCCCAGGGACAACCUCUCCCCUGCCUCCCUGCCACUCGCCCAGCGGAGCUCUGAUGCAGGGAAGCAAACCACCACCGGGUCCUCGUCUGGGAGGUUCCGGUGGCUCCCCGCCCCUUGCACGCUGACCUUCCAAGGCUCUGAUGUCCUACUCUCUGGAUGCUGACGGUGAAUUACUAUUGCAAUAAACCAGCUGCUUCCCAGCGAUCGCAACAUUGGAGCCCUGGCCGCGUUCUCAGACACUCACGGGCACACGCAUGAAAACUCUGCAGUGUGUGCCAAGGAUCCUUCCAGUGGCCGGACAAACAAGGCUUGGAGAGCUCGUGCCCACGCAGAUGAGGGGACCCGAUCCUUACGAUGCAGGGUGACGGAUGCCCCUGGCGGACCACAAAGGAGCGGACCGUCACGCUACCCUCAGCCCGCAUCCUGCCAGCUGUGGGACACUGAGCAACUCACCGCACCUCUCUGAUCCUCAGCGGCCUCAUCUGUGAAAUGGGUACAGCAACUUCGCUCUCCUGCACUGUUGUGGUUGUAAAUUGAAAUCAUCGAAGCGACAGCUCUGCAGGAAAUGUCGAUUCAUCCACUCUCGGCCUCUCUACCACACUGGGCGGAAGAGAAGGUGCACGGUGAUGGGAAGAAGUUGAAUCAAAGAAAGAGCGAUAACUUCGUUUGUUUUUCCCUUUAGAAGGAAAGCAGGCGUUCUUAUUAAACAGGUUGUGGGGUGCCUGAGUGGCUCAGUCCGUUAAGCAUCUGACUUCAGCUCAGGUCACGAUCUCUUGGUUUGCGAGUUCGAGCCCCGCCUCGGGCUCUGUGCUGUCAGCUCGGAGCCUGGAGCCUGCUUCGGAUUCUGUGUCUCCCCCCUCUCUCUUCCCCUCCCCCCCUCGCUCUCAGUCUCUCUCUUUCUCUCUCAAAAAUAAAUAAACAUAAAAAAAUAUUUAAAAACCA